CCUUUUACUCUUCCCCCAAUUUCCUAUAGAACAUUUGAACCCUUCACAUUCCAACCUCAGUUUCUCAAACACAACACCACAACAAGAAUCUAAAAGUCUUUUUCUUCAUCUUCUCUGUUCACUCUUUCCACCGAUUCCAAUCCAAACCAUAAUCCUACUCCCUGACGAUCACAUUGUGAGGAUUUAAAUGUCCAAUCUACAAGUAUAUUCGUAUAGAUUGUUUCCUUUGAUUUGAUGCAUAUGAUAUUGCUUAGAAGAAGGCAAUAAAUUGUACCAGACAUUGCUUUCCAUGAAUCUAGGCAAGUGUUAUUCACGCGUCAAGCGUCAGCGGAGCUCACUGACGAAGAUAUCGAUAAAACAACCAGUUCUUGAAGACCUUGAACCUUCCUUAACAUUGUUGCUCUUAGCAACGUAAUUCUUAUCCAUUUCAUUUCUUCAUAAUCAUUUAUCAUAGUUUCUAAUUCAUCAUAUUGUGAUUUCGAUUUCAAUUUGGAUUUCAAUUUCGUAAGGUGCGGUAAAUCUGCGGUUCUGAACAGUUUAAUGGACAUCCAGUUUUGCUGGGUGAAUAGUCCAACAUGCUUCUGAUUGAGCAAGUUUAGCGAAUUUCUCUUUAAAGGGAUAUACGUGUUUCUCAAUGAACUUAACUAUUUUAUUCCUCAGCACUAAAACCUUUUUCCUAAGAGUAAACUUCCCUUCAUUUGAGAGAAGAGAUGUCAGUUUGAACCACACUAUGAGAAACAAAAUUGCUUGACAUAGUUUUGUUUACACUAUGGGAUAGAACAUAACCUUAAUGAAAACGGCAUGAGUGCGCUUUCCGAUCCAAACUUGUGCUUCUUUCCAUAAUAUGCGUUGAAAUAUAUAUAUCAAUACCGUAUUUUAUCUUGAACUCUGCCUAUGAUGUGUUCCAAUUCCAUCAUAUAUUGGCGCCACCUUCAGCUGAUCCCCUCUGACACUAGAGACACCGCAAGGGGUUAACUUUUAUACACAAAUCAAAACAAUAACGCAGAACAGGAAGGAUUUGGGUAACCCUUUGUCGUUCUUUGUUGUUUUUCAUGUGAAAGAUUUAUAAUUUUUAUUAAUAUCUAUUGAUUCCCGGUUAUGGGGUUAAGUAAAAAACUCAACUUUUGAUUCUGUUAUGUUCUGAAAGGUGAAAGUUUUAAUUAAGCCAUGUUUUCCAUGCUUUGAAAAUUUGGAUUACACCAUUAUUUUUUGUUUUUUGUGAUUCAUAACUAUUUUUAGCACUGUUAUAUAGGGAGUUUACUAUCAUGAUUUUAAUCUCACCAAGAUGUCCCCUAUGUGUCUUUAUGAGUUGAAACUGGUGUAAAAGUGACAAUUCAUGUGGCUGGUUUUCAACCAUGUCGCUGGUUUGGGUAUGUUACGUCACUCAAUGUUCAAGGAGAACAUUAGAUAGAUUCCAUCUUUUCAAAUGUAGAAAACUACUUUUGGCGUGCUCACUUAACUUGAUUGCCUGCUACUUGAAGACAAGACAGUGUGAUGAAUGCAUAAAAGAAGGUUCUAAGGUUUUGGCGUAUGACACAAAGAACCUUAAGGCUCUUUAUCGAAGAUGUCAGGCAUAUGAGGAGCGAGGCCUGCUACAGGUGACCUGUAAGUGACACAAUUAUGUCCCCUAUGUCGUCACUGAUUUGAGCAAUUCACUUGAAGUGUCCCCUGAUGAUGAUAUAAUUGGAGAGCUUCUACGAGACACCAAGGUACAGUUGAUAAAGGAAGGUGGUCAUUAUGCUAUUGGAAUAAUUGAAGAGUUAACUGAAGAAGUUGAGAACGUGCCUUCUAGAAACAACAGAAACACUUUUCCAAACAAACGUAUGAUCAACCAAAAAAGUCUGGUGACUCCUCUAAGAGUUACAAUAUAGCUAACAAUGGAAAUCCAAAAUCAAAUUCAGAUAGUAUAGAUACACUAAAGAAAGAUCCUGAAGCCAUCAGGUUGCUUUUGGCUUGCAUUUUUAUACUUGCAUGUGUAAGUCUGCAGGUGUCCAGUUUUGGUGUUUUAGUUGCAGAAGUCACUUCAAUUGCGGUGAGCAUCCGAUAGGAAAUCGGCUUGAUGCAUCAAUCGCAAAUUCAGUUGGGUGAAAAUGCCCUUCGUAGUUUUUGGACGGUAGAUGUGCCUGGUGUUUCAAUUUCGGUGUUUGAGCAAUUGGAAAAGAUAUGGCAAAAUCUAUCAUCCUUAUGUUUUAAUAUUGAAUCGCGCAGGAAGUGACUGCUUGCUUAGGCAGAUUUUUUUCAUGUAGAGGUGGUUCGGAACGCAUGCAGCGUAUUAGGUUGGUUUCAACUGUUAUUUUUGGUGCUGUUUGCUUUUGCAGUUUUUUCGGGCAGAGGUGUUUCGUGGUUAGGGGUCUGUGUGCUUGCAAGUUUAUUGGGAUUUGGACUUGGUUGUUCAUGAAUGUUUUGCAUUUGUAUUUUUAUAGUUGCAAAUGUCUAGAAUAGGUGGUGUUAGUGUGAGGGUUUAUUCUGUUUCUGCAGUUUAUCUUAUUGCUUGCUAUUUGUUUCAUUGUACUGGUUGAGAUCUCUUAUGCCUAUG